rnacentral:rRNA from 2 species
UGCAGUCGAACGCGUUGGCCCAAUUGAUUGAUGGUGCUUGCACCUGAUUGAUUUUGGUCGCCAACGAGUGGCGGACGGGUGAGUAACACGUAGGUAACCUGCCCAGAAGCGGGGGACAACAUUUGGAAACAGAUGCUAAUACCGCAUAACAGCGUUGUUCGCAUGAACAACGCUUAAAAGAUGGCUUCUCGCUAUCACUUCUGGAUGGACCUGCGGUGCAUUAGCUUGUUGGUGGGGUAACGGCCUACCAAGGCGAUGAUGCAUAGCCGAGUUGAGAGACUGAUCGGCCACAAUGGGACUGAGACACGGCCCAUACUCCUACGGGAGGCAGCAGUAGGGAAUCUUCCACAAUGGGCGCAAGCCUGAUGGAGCAACACCGCGUGAGUGAAGAAGGGUUUCGGCUCGUAAAGCUCUGUUGUUAAAGAAGAACACGUAUGAGAGUAACUGUUCAUACGUUGACGGUAUUUAACCAGAAAGUCACGGCUAACUACGUGCCAGCAGCCGCGGUAAUACGUAGGUGGCAAGCGUUAUCCGGAUUUAUUGGGCGUAAAGAGAGUGCAGGCGGUUUUCUAAGUCUGAUGUGAAAGCCUUCGGCUUAACCGGAGAAGUGCAUCGGAAACUGGAUAACUUGAGUGCAGAAGAGGGUAGUGGAACUCCAUGUGUAGCGGUGGAAUGCGUAGAUAUAUGGAAGAACACCAGUGGCGAAGGCGGCUACCUGGUCUGCAACUGACGCUGAGACUCGAAAGCAUGGGUAGCGAACAGGAUUAGAUACCCUGGUAGUCCAUGCCGUAAACGAUGAGUGCUAGGUGUUGGAGGGUUUCCGCCCUUCAGUGCCGGAGCUAACGCAUUAAGCACUCCGCCUGGGGAGUACGACCGCAAGGUUGAAACUCAAAGGAAUUGACGGGGGCCCGCACAAGCGGUGGAGCAUGUGGUUUAAUUCGAAGCUACGCGAAGAACCUUACCAGGUCUUGACAUCUUGCGCCAACCCUAGAGAUAGGGCGUUUCCUUCGGGAACGCAAAGACAGGUGGUGCAUGGUCGUCGUCAGCUCGUGUCGUGAGAUGUUGGGUUAAGUCCCGCAACGAGCGCAACCCUUGUUACUAGUUGCCAGCAUUAAGUUGGGCACUCUAGUGAGACUGCCGGUGACAAACCGGAGGAAGGUGGGGACGACGUCAGAUCAUCAUGCCCCUUAUGACCUGGGCUACACACGUGCUACAAUGGACGGUACAACGAGUCGCGAACUCGCGAGGGCAAGCAAAUCUCUUAAAACCGUUCUCAGUUCGGACUGCAGGCUGCAACUCGCCUGCACGAAGUCGGAAUCGCUAGUAAUCGCGGAUCAGCAUGCCGCGGUGAAUACGUUCCCGGGCCUUGUACACACCGCCCGUCACACCAUGAGAGUUUGUAACACCCAAAGUCGGUGGGGUAACC